rnacentral:tRNA from 1 species
GCCGGGGUGGCCGAGUGGACCAAGGCGGCGGACACAAUCCGUUGCCCGCAAGGGCGCCCGGGUUCAAAUCCCGGCCCCGGCGCCA